rnacentral:lncRNA from 1 species
UGUAAGUCGCCGGCAGUUUUUGUUUUUGUCUUUGUGUUGACUUUUCCAACAGGACCGACUGGAAAUAAUGGGUACCUGGCAGCCCUCUGGGCUCCGUUUGUUUGGAAGUCGCCGCGACGCCCUAGCCAAAUUUUGGACACAAUUGGAAACACUCGUUAUAACACCAAGGCUUUGACUGGGACAUCAUAUUUGAGAAAAACACACAAGCUCGGAUAUGAUGAGACAGCUUUUGAGGAACCAAGGUUGACUUUCUGGAAUAAAGCCACUUGGAAAUAUUGGCCUGAAAAACUUCUUAUUAAAUACCUGGUUACUUACUUACAUGAUACAGGCCUAACUUCAGGAGCCCACCAGCAUCACCGCCUUAUUAAAAGACUGGUUCAAUGAGAUGAAACGACCUAUGCCCCAUUUCAGCAGGAAGUAGCUAGAUCGGUCACCAUCCCAAAUCCCUCAAGAUUGAGGAACGGACAUAAAAUAGGGGGGAGUUGAUAUCGACCCUGAUAUCAGUUUCCCCACAUUAAACCCAGCAUAUAUGGGGUUAAAACCCAAACACUCAUUCCCUGCUUACUCUCUGGCUUCCUGGCUCCAGAAUCCACUAUCCUCCAUGGAGACAGACACUGUCAAGGACCAGCACCUGGACUAUCUCCUCCCCACAAAGAGAUACAGACUGGUGGGAAAGCUUCUGACCAGCAAGGCCAUAUGCUCCCCCCC